CAGGUCGGUGUAGUCUGCCCCGUGUGUGUGCGUGUCUGUCACACAGCUUCCUGCUCUGGUAAGGCUUUUCUGUCUCUGGAGUUUCAAGCAACUUUGCUGAGGAAAAGCCACAGGCAGCACGAAAAUGCUCACAAGAGCUCUUCCUGUGAGAGGCCAGCUUCCAAGAAUCAGUUCUCUUCGAUUUAUUUAGCCUUUUGAUCUAAAACUAAGCUCCAUUUUGUUAGCAAUAAGAAACAGUUAAUAAUCUCCCUCCAUGACUCCUGCUGGAGCCUGAGCUGCUGUGGUCACAAAUUGCUGCUCAAACUCUGCUGUGCCUUCCUCUAUGCUUCCCCCUCUUCUCCCUUUCUGGAGGGAAGGAAGGGUUAAGCUCAUGUCCUCAUCGAGGAGCAAUAGCUCUUCCCAAAAGACAAGUCACAGGCAAACUAUCCAGUUGUAUAUGUCUCACUGAAGAAUUGGUACAUGAGUGAGACAUGACUUCAUCCUUUAACCUGCAUGCUUCACUGGUCUAGGGAACCCUGGUGGGUUUGGCCCAUUCUAGUCACAGUUGUCAUGGGAGAUCCUAAUGACUUAGUAAGGUAGCUUAAAAAAUCUCCAUGCAGAAUCCAGCAUAUGGUAUAUUUAUUGGCAAUGCUAAUCCCCCUAGGAACAAGUUCUGUAGUAACAAAUGGUGAAUUAUGUGGCUUCAUAAGCACUCAUGUCAUCAAAUGCACCACUGACCUUUUACAUUUUCAGGGGAAUUUUCUGCUCUGCAGUUUCUCUGGUUUGGAAGUGAAGCAGUUUAACAAUUUAUCCUGGAGGAAACAGGGACCCACCACAGUAACCACAAGGGUGACAGGUGCCCCUUCUCACAUAAGCCACUCCGAAGGGAGGGCAGACCGAGCUUUCCUUCGACGUCCUUCCCGCAGGGACGGGGCUGGCCUUCAGUAAUUUCCCCAAAGCCGCAGCAGCCCCGGCCCCGGCGAGGAGCCCCGCUGUCCCGCGGCCUCUCAGUUCCCGGAGGAAGCAGCAGAGGGCGCUCGUGCCUCGCGGAGCGCGACCAGAAGGGACUUUGCGGGACUGCUCACGGCUACAGCUUCACGCGGAGGCCUCAGGAAGCUGCAAGAAGUGUCAG
rnacentral:lncRNA from 1 species